rnacentral:rRNA from 1 species
UACGUAGGUGGCAAGCGUUGUCCGGAAUUAUUGGGCGUAAAGCGCGCGUAGGCGGUUACUUAAGUCGGAUGUGAAAGCCCUCGGCUUAACUGAGGAAGUGCAUCCGAAACUGAGUAGCUAGAGUACGAAAGAGGGUCGCGGAAUUCCCGGUGUAGAGGUGAAAUUCGUAGAUAUCGGGAGGAACACCGGUGGCGAAGGCGGCGACCUGGGUCGAGACUGACGCUGAGGCGCGAAAGCGUGGGGAGCAAACAGG